CCUACGGGAGGCAGCAGUGGGGAAUAUUGGGCAAUGGGCGCAAGCCUGACCCAGCAACGCCGCGUGAAGGAAGAAGGCUUUCGGGUUGUAAACUUCUUUUAAGAGGGAAGAGCAGAAGACGGUACCUCUUGAAUAAGCCACGGCUAAAUACGUGCCAGCAGCCGCGGUAAUACGGAGGUGGCAAGCGUUGUCCGGAUUUACGGGGUGUAAAGGGCGUGCAGCCGGGAAGACAAGUCAGAUGUGAAAUCCCGCGGCUCAACCACGGAACUGCAUUUGAAACUGUUUUUCUUGAGUACCGGAGAGGUCAUCGGAAUUCCUGGUGUAGCGGUGAAAUGCGUAGAUAUAAGGAAGAACACCGGUGGCGAAGGCGGAUGACUGGACGGCAACUGACGGUGAGGCGCGAAGGCGUGGGGAGCGAACAGGAUUAGAUACCCUAGUAGUC
rnacentral:rRNA from 1 species